ACGGGAGGCAGCAGUGGGGAAUAUUGGGCAAUGGGCGAAAGCCUGACCCAGCGACGCCGCGUGAGGGAAGAAGGUCUUCGGAUUGUAAACCUCUUUCAGCAGGGAAGAACAAUGACGGUACCUGCAGAAGAAGUCACGGCUAACUACGUGCCAGCAGCCGCGGUAAUACGUAGGUGGCGAGCGUCAUCCGGAAUUACUGGGCGUAAAGGGUGUGUAGGCGGAGAAGCAAGUCGGGCGUGAAAUUCAGAGGCUCAACCUCUGGACUGCGCUUGAAACUGUUUCCCUUGAGAGUGGGAGAGGUAAACGGAAUUCCUGGUGUAGUAGUGAAAUGCGUAGAUAUCAGGAGGAACACCGGUGGUGAAGGCGGUUUACUGGACCACAACUGACGCUGAGGCUCGAAAGCGUGGGGAGCAAACAGGAUUAGAUACCCUGGUA
rnacentral:rRNA from 1 species